rnacentral:tRNA from 1 species
GCCGAGGUGGCGAAACAGGCAGACGCGCUACGUUCAGGGCGUAGUGGGUAUUAGACUCAUAAGGGUUCAAAUCCCUUCCUCGGCA